GCAUACACCCUCGCUUUCUCCUUCUGUCUGUCUGGAAUGCUAACAGGCUGUCUGGAGGUAGUCCAGGGCAUCCAAGGUCUUCAUCCCAUUCCUGUUCAGCCCCUGCACCAGCCUCGAAUCACCUACCUCUCAAUUUCCUAUUGUCACAAAAUGAACAAAUAAGUAAAUGAAUGAAUUAGUACAUUUUGUUUUUCUUCAUUGGAAGCCCAAAUCCUUAUUUUCAGCCUUUUGCUAAUUUUCCAAAAUGCUUUGGCAUAGAGCAGCACAUGUUCAGCUUCCCUCUUGGGCCCACCCCAUGAGAUAAUGCAUUUGUGACCACUUGACUGAAUUUUACCAGCGUUUUGAAAAUUCCUUAUCAAAUGCAACACGUGGUCUAAAUAUUCUCACCUUCUCUCUUGUCUUCUUAAGUCAUCAACCUCUCUUUCCACUCGUAAUGGAGUGUGGAACAACAAUUUGUCAGCCCUCACUUGGUUUGACAUGCUUAUCAGACGCAUAAAGAAGGUGUCAAUGGAAACCUUCUUUUUCAGACAUACGUGUUUACUAGGUCUGAAAAAAAAUAUGUAGUUUUCUCCUACAGAUCUCUGUGAACCAUUAAUAAAGUUAAUCCUCUCAGGGUGCCAUUUACUGCAAGAAAUCACCACUGUAACCUUUUUGCAUAGGCAUGAUACAGAACUACAAUAAAAAUGAAUUAAGACUUAUGAGGAUGGUUUUAACCUCGUGAUCAUGAUAUAAAAAUGAUGAGGCAGAGAAGAAAAUUGAAACGGAAAACAUGUGGAGACCAUAUUUCUGCUCUUUGGAUUAAUGUCAAAUGCUCUAGGACUGUUAAGCUGGUUGCCCCACUUUCUAUAGUCCUGUUAGGCUAUAGAAACACAUUCCCCCAGGCAGCAAGACCAGGCUUGGUUCCAUCCUCCACUCCGAGGAUGCCCAGAUCUGCAAAGAGCAGAGACGUGCUUGGAUUUGACAUAGGAGAGCUUUCUACAUGGUUUUAAUGAAGACGAAAAUGAGAGUAGGCAUUGAGUUCAGCUGGUGUAUGAUGUAGAUACAAGGAUAACAAGCAGAUGAAUAGAUAGAUGGUAGAUAACAGAUAAAUAGAUGAUAAAGGAGAGAUGAUAGAUAGCAAUAGAUAGAUGAUAUAUGUACAGAAAGACACAUGAGAGAUAUAUAGAGGAUAAAUGGUAGACAGAUGAUAGAGGUAGAUAAAUAGAUGAUAGAUGGAUAGAUGGAUAUAGAGAGAGAUAGAGAGAUGGAGAUAAAUGUUAGGUAAGUAGGUAGAGAUAUAUGAAUAGAUAGAUAGAUGAUGAGUGAUAAAUGGCUAGAGAUAGGUGAUAGAGAGAUGGAUGACAGCAAGAUAAUAGAUGAUAAAUGAUAGAUGAAAAAUAGCAAUAGAUAGAUGGUAGAUAAACAGAAAGAUAGGUGAUAGAAUGAUCAUAGAUAUAGAUAGAUGAUACGUUACAGAUACAUAGAUGAUAAAUAGUAGAUAGGUGACAGAGUUAGAUAAAUAAAUGAUAGGUAAAUAGAUAGGUGGAGAGAUGGAGAUGACAAGAUGGGAUAAGUGAUGUAUAGGCAGAGAUGGAUGGUAGAGAGAUAGAUGAUAGAGGACAGAAAGAUGAUGGAGAGAUGAUAGACAGUGAUAGAUGAUAGAUAAUGACAGACGAUAGAGGAUAGAUAGAUGACACCAAAGAUACAUGAUGGAUAAAUAGAACGAUAGGUGAUAGAGAGAUGACAGAUAAUAGAGAGAUGACAGAUGAUAGAGGAUAAAUCAUAGAUAGAGGUAGAUAGAUAGAUAGAUAGAUAGAUAGAUAGAUAGAUAGAUAGAUAGAUAGUAGGGAAUCUUCCAAGGCAGGGUCAGUGCUGAGUUAGUGAAGAUAGGAGAACCCAGAAGGAAAUUUGUAGGAAGACAUGAGGGCAAAUGGAAGCCACUAACUUCCCUAUGAAGAGAGAACUUUGAAACUCUGAUGGACCCUCUUCCUCUUCAGCCUGUAUCGUAAUUAUUUGUCAGCUUAUAUUUUCCCUUCUCACUAAACAAUGAUCUCUUUAAGAUAACAUAUAAGAAAUAAGGUUUUAAAGUCAAACGCAUGGGUCUCGGAGUCCCGGCCCCACCUCUUAUCUGGUCAGCAGCUUUCACUAGGUGAGCUAGCAUUUUUCAAUCUUCAUGUUCUCAUCUUAAAACGGGGAUAAUACCCUUCUCAAGCGUCACUGUGAGGCGAAAUAAGAGAACAAGUUAAAAAUAGAGCUUUUGGCCCAAAUCUUCCAUUCAGCUUUAGCCUGGGCAUUUGGAGGACUUAAUCCACGGACUCAUUUGAGGCCACUGUGCUGUGAUCUGUGGUUUGUGAACGCAGAGGCUGCUGUCAGACCCGACAGGCAUCUCCUCAUUAGUAAUACGACAGGCAUGCCUUAAGGUGUGUUAUUAGCAUAUCGAUAUUCUCCUUCAAGUAUAAAGAAGCUGAAUGAAAAAUCGUUUAUGCAUUUUUAUAAUGAAAUUCUAUUGAUAAUAGGAUUGUAAAUAUAUAUUUAUGAUUAGUAAAACAAUCUAAAAAUUAACAAUGAUGGUAAAAGCUAUUAAUUUUAUGUGCAAAAAAUUUUUCAGAACUUGAUUGAUUUAAAAAAUGGCCAAUGAGCUGACAGUUAAUACAAAUCUUAGGACAUUUGAUAACAAAUAACUUGAAAAAAUGUAUUCUAUUCUUUAAGCCAGAAAUGGUGGGAAAAUAUUAAAAUAACAAAGCAAAGCAGGAUAAUAGAAAGAGGACUCUACUCAAUUAUAAAUAUGGUAGAAUUGUUUGGUGUGAUAGCAUUCACAAUAGAAAGCAAAAUGCUUUCAAGAAUUCUGUUUAAUUUGUUUUUAAUGAAUUUAGGCCCUGACUCUUUUAAAGGAAAAAGAAAUACUAUUUGAGAAUUUUACACCUCUUGUUGGAUGAAGUAAAAACAGAAUGUGUGCUUUUUAUUACACAAUUUCAUAAGGAGGAAACAUUUUCCCAAGUUAUGUAACCUGUGAUAAGUAACCUUUAUUGACACAUAAUAUAGGACGUAAAGAAUAUGAAGAAAUGGUGAAAGUAUUAAAGAUAAAUUAGGUGUUUCCUAAUAUAUUGCUCUUUUAUUAAAUUCAGUUGAAAUGAACAUCAAUUUCAUGUCACAAACGAAAGGAACCAUCCGUUAGCAUAUUGCUGAGAAAUUGUCUUUCCCAAUCAUGUCAAACUCUGAAAUUUUAAUUCUUAAAUUUCUUACCAAAAAUAAUAUUUCUGGGAUAAAAGUCUAUUUAUUUUUGAUUCCCUAGUCAGUUGAUAUUUACUUUACUCAGCCUUGGUUGACGAGUCCUUUUCACACUUAGCCAUUCAUCAUUUGCCUUCAAAGCCUAUCCAGAACACGUCUCCAUUGGGUUUGCCCAGAAAUGGUCCCCAAAGCAAAGAUUUGAAUGUGAGCCGUGUUUGAGAGGGGAUCCCUGAGAACAUGGGAUGUGAAAGAGGGAAGUGAGACGAUUUUCGGUUUUGUCUCAGAAGCAAUCAGAAGUUAAUAUAGAGAGAAGUGGUGAAAUUAGAUUUUUGUUUAAGCAAACAACCAAAAAAAAAAAAA
ensembl:lncRNA